CACGCCGUAAACGAUGAGUGCUGGGUGUUGCGGGUAUUGACCCCCGCGGUGCCGAAGCCAACGCGUUAAGCACUCCGCCUGGGAAGUACGGCCGCAAGGCUAAAACUCAAAGGAAUUGACGGGGGCCCGCACAAGCGGUGGAGCAUGUGGUUUAAUUCGACGCAACGCGAAGAACCUUACCCGGGCUCGAAAAUGGCGGAACCCGUCCGAAAGGGCGGGGUGCCCGCAAGGGAGCCGUUAUCAGGUGC
rnacentral:rRNA from 1 species